rnacentral:lncRNA from 1 species
UAACUACGAAAUAUUUUGUUUCUUUGAAUGAUGAUUCCUGUUUUGUAACCACAAAGUACUGUGAGCCUGCCAAAAUGAAAAGUAUAUAUGAUCAACUUCACAAGUAAAGAUUGGGAUCAACACCUUCACUUUGGUGUCUGUGUUGUUUCUCCACCCCUUUCGCCGACUCCUCACAAUCCGUUCAUCUCCUGAGACCCCCUGUUGGAGCUGGU